GAACAUUUUUUUGAUGGCAGGAAAAUAAUAAUAAUAAUAAUAAUAAUAACUAGUGAUCCUAAUUGUUCGCGAACAAUUAGAGGGCUUCCCACCUUCUAGCGGUUUUUCAGUAGUGUUGAAAUGCUAAAAGCCCCCCCCCCCCCUCUACCCCACCCCACUCUCACCAAAAAAAAAAAAAUUGAUUUGGCUAGAAAAGAAAUUCAAAUUUGCCGCCUAAAUUUGAGUGUUGAGGUGUGUUCAAUGCUUGGUUUCGCAUUAAGUACCCGUCAAAUUUGAAGGAGAAAAGGGGUGUGGGUGUUGGGUAGGCAGCACAUAUGCACAUAUCAGGUAAAAGUGUAAUAGGACUUGUGCAGGUGUUUGGGGUGACUUUAGACCUGUUAGAUGUGAUAUUUGGAGGUGCAAAGAAACCGGAUGUGCCAUUUUCCUAGAUUGUAGUAACUGCUGGUGCAUGCUGGGAGUCUACAAGCCUCAUGUUGUCAGAUGUUGUGAAGAUGCACUGGAUUUGACCGUGUGUGUUGUGGAUUGUGGAAUUGAAUAUACAGUUUGUAAUGGCUCAUCCUAUGUGUUUUAAUUCACGGAGACAAUGUCUUUCAGUCAUUUCACCCAAGGAGGCAUGCAUAUACGGAUUUAUAGGCUUUGACAACAAACAACCAAAAUGGCGGCCGGUGAAUUAGAAAGUGUCUGAGUGCAUCUAGGAUAUCUGAACGGAGAAUAGGAGUACUGCAUCCCAUCUGAUCCUGCAGUCAUUUCACCCAAGGAGGCAUGCAUAUACGGAUUGAUAGGCUUUGACAACAAACAACCAAAAUGGCGGCCGGUGAAUUAGAAAGUGUCUGAGUGCAUGUAGGAUAUCUGAACGGAGAAUAGGAGUACUGCAUCCCAUCUGAUCCUGCAGGUAAGUGUUUAUUUGUUUACAAUGACAGUCGGGAUGGAAUGUCAAUGAGUUCAACUGUCAAGUAAAGUUGCAUCAUCAUUAUAAAAAAAAAAAAA